rnacentral:tRNA from 2 species
GCGGAUGUGGCGGAAUUGGCAGACGCGCUAGACUUAGGAUCUAGUGUCUACGAUGUGCAGGUUCAAGUCCUGUCAUCCGCACCA